AUGGAGGUGGUGACUGCUUUGGCCAGUGCGGAGAUUCCAGAGGAUGGGACCAUGACUGAGGAUACCGGCAGGACUGAUGCUGACAGGCCGUCCAAAUAUGCGCGCAAAAAGGAAAAGAUGCUUUGCUAUCGUUGUGGGGAAAAGGGCCAUUUCAUUGCUGAGUGCGUGGCGAAGCUAUGUGAGACAUGCGGCAAGCCGGAUCAUCCCUCCAGUGAGUGCCCGUUCUUGCGUGACCAGGCACCGUCACUGACUGUGUAUGGAGUCUACUGUGCUGAGCUUAUGUUUUUUGAAUCACCGGCCGCGAGAGAGAUUCCGGAUGAGACCCCGAGCUUGACCACAGGGGUUGUGAAGGCUACCCAGGGAGAGGUGACUGAGGCUCAGAUCGUACAGAGGCUUCAGGAGUUGGCUCCGGGGGACUUUCGGUGGGAGUUGGUGGUUCUCGAGGAUAAGGUUUAUAAGGUCGAGUUCCCCACGGUAGAUGACUUGCAGCGGUUGUUGAGCUUUGGUUUGUGUAGAGUUCCUCGCACUUCGGGCAUUCUAGAGUUCCACGAGUGGAAGAAGGUGGAGCCUAAGGGAAAGCCGCUUACUCAGGUCUGGUUGCGGUUUAUAGGCGCUCCGUCUAAGCCUUUACAGGAUGUUCGAGUGGUGGCCAGUUUGGGUACGUUGGUUGGGAAAACGGAGAGAGUUGAUAUGGCUUUCACUCGGGCU
rnacentral:rRNA from 1 species